GUCUACGGCCAUGCCACCCUGAACAUGCCUGAUCUUGUCUGAUCUCAGAAGCUCAGCAGCCUGGUUAGUACUUGGAUGGGAGACCACCUAGGAAUACAGGGUGCUGUAGGCU
rnacentral:rRNA from 1 species